AUUGAACGCUAGCGGCAUGCCUAACACAUGCAAGUCGAACGGUAACAGCAUCUGGAGUAAUCCAGAUGGCUGACGAGUGGCGGACGGGUGAGUAACGCGUAGGAAUCUACCUCGUAGUGGGGGAUAACCCGGGGAAACCCGGGCUAAUACCGCAUACAUUCUUCGGAACAAAGGAAGCCUCUAUUUAUAAGCUUUCGCUAUGAGAUGAGCCUGCGUUGGAUUAGCUAGUUGGUAGGGUAAAGGCCUACCAAGGCGACGAUCCAUAGCUGGUCUGAGAGGACGAUUAGCCACACUGGGACUGAGACACGGCCCAGACUCCUACGGAAGGCAGCAGUGGGGAAUAUUGGACAAUGGGCGAAAGCCUGAUCCAGCAAUGCCGCGUGUGUGAAGAAGGCCUUCGGGUUGUAAAGCACUUUUAGUGGGGAAAAAAGAUUCAAGUCGAAUAGGCUUGAGUGUUGAUGUUACCCACAGAAAAAGUACUGGCUAACUCUGUGCCAGCCGCCGCGGUAAGAC
rnacentral:rRNA from 1 species